rnacentral:rRNA from 1 species
UCGAGAAUCUUCGGCAAUGGGCGCAAGCCUGACCGAGCGACGCCGCGUGGAGGACGAAGGCCUUCGGGUUGUAAACUCCUGUCGAGGGGGAAGAAGGCCCCUAAAGGGCUUGACUGAUCCCUGGAGGAAGCACGGGCUAAGUUCGUGCCAGCAGCCGCGGUAAGACGAACCGUGCGAACGUUAUUCGGAAUCACUGGGCUUAAAGCGCGUGUAGGCGGGACGGCACGUCGGUCGCUGAAAGCCCCCGGCUCAACCGGGGAACGGGCGCCGAUACGACCGCCCUCGAGGGACGUAGGGGGACCUGGAACUUCCGGUGGAGCGGUGAAAUGCGUUGAGAUCGGAAGGAACGCCCGUGGCGAAAGCGAGGUCCUGGCCCGGUACUGACGCUGAGGUGCGAAAGCGUGGGGAGCAAACAG